rnacentral:misc_RNA from 1 species
UUUCCGUAGGUGAACCUGCGGAAGGAUCAUUAAAGUUAUAGUCCACCGGCCCUCUGUGCUGGGGGCUUCUAUACCCCCCGUUGUUUAUUACACCUUUGUUGCUUUGGCAGGCCUGCCCGCGGGCUGCUGGCGCCGGCCGGCUCGCGUCUGACAGAGGACCUAAACUCUGUUUGUAUAUGAAGUUUGAGUACUAUAUAAUAGUUAAAACUUUCAACAACGGAUCUCUUGGUUCUG